CUGGGAGAAUCCUGAAAAAAAGAGGUAGGGGUCAGGAAGGCACCCAACAGGGCUUUCGCAGUCCAGAAAAUAUCAAAAUAUAAGUGUUAAAAGAGAGACACAGGCUGGGUGCAGUGGCUCACGCCUGUAAACCCAGCACUUUGGGAGGCUGAGGCGGGCUGAUCAUGAGGUCAGAAGUUGACCUCAUGCAAGACUGUCUCAAAAGAGAAAAGGCCACCAAAUGCAGUUCAGUGGGUGCCCAGCCUGGCUGGUAGGCCAGUUCCAUCCCAGCUCACCCCUUCCCACCCACCAAGCAAGCCCCUUCGCCACCCCUUCCCUCCCUGUCCUCUCCCGCUGCACGAGCCCAUCGGCCACCUGACCCUUUCCCUGAUCUCCUGUCCAGCCACAGAGCAGGACUGUCACGUUCACAUGCUUCCCCCGUCUCUUUUUGCAGGCCAACCUGUCUGCUCUCAGCCACCUCACCCUCUGACUCAACAACUUCCUCUUUGCAAAUUUCCUCUUUGCCCUCGGGAAAUACCAACUGCCCUGGCCCCUGUGUGCUCCUGGACUGUAGCCUGGGCUGGUCUCAGAGGCAGCACCGUGGGGUCCUCUCCUCUCCACCCAGGCCCCAUAGGGGAAGUCCCUGGCUCUGGGGCCGGUUUCCUUCCCUCCCUUCACUCACUCUCACUGGUUCCUCUUGGAGAAGGGAAGGGGCUCAGCCCUUGGGAUGGAAGAGGAGACACAGAAAAACUAAACCUGGAACCGUGCGGGGGGAAGCUGCAGCAAGACCAGUCUCCACUACCAGGAUGGACCCCUCUGUUUUCGCGCCUCUGUUCACACACCGACUCUCUGCCUAUUUUCGUGUGUGUGCACGUGUGUGCAGUAAAGGAGACCUAGAGGAAGGGAUUACCGUGGCUGAGUUGAAGAACUCACAUUCGGGUCACAUAUAUGAUCUUUAUAUGAAGGCUGGCUUUCUUUUUGUUUUUUCAGACAGGAUCUUGCUCUGUCACACAGGCUGGAGUGCAGUGGUGCAAUCACAGCUCACUGCAGGCUCAAACUCCUGGCCUCAAGAGAUCCUCCUGCAUGAACCUUCCAAAGUGCUGGGAUUAAAGGCACCAGCCCCUGCGCCCACCCUGGCAUUCUGUAUUGGGAUACAGACAGAGUUCGAUUUUCUGCUAAGUUCACCCCAUCAGAGCAAAGAUGGCACGCAUGUGCUCAGCAGUCCCUGCAUUCCCCCACGCUCAGGUUGAC
rnacentral:lncRNA from 13 species